rnacentral:rRNA from 1 species
CAAUAGCGUAUAUUAAAGUUGUUGCAGUUAAAAAGCUCGUAGUUGAAUUUUUGCUUGCCGCCGAUGUCGGAACUUCCGUACGUUCGGCGGCGUGCAUCCUUGGGUGGAACCUGUGUGGCAUUAGGUUGUCGUGCAGGGGAUGCUCAUCGUUUACUGUGAAAAAAUUAGAGUGUUCAAAGCAGGCUUACGCCGUUGAAUAUAUUAGCAUGGAAUAAUAAGAUAGGACCUUGGUACUAUUUUGUUGGUUUGCGCACCGAGGUAAUGAUUAACAGGGACAGUUGGGGGUAUUCGUAUUCCAUUGUCAGAGGUGAAAUUCUUGGAUUUCUGGAAGACGAACUACUGCGAAAGCAUCUACCAAGGAUGUUUNCAUUAA